rnacentral:rRNA from 1 species
UACGUAGGGUGCGAGCGUUGUCCGGAAUUAUUGGGCGUAAAGGGCUCGUAGGCGGUCUGUCGCGUCGGGAGUGAAAACUCAGGGCUUAACCCUGAGCCUGCUUCCGAUACGGGCAGACUAGAGGUAUGCAGGGGAGAACGGAAUUCCUGGUGUAGCGGUGGAAUGCGCAGAUACCAGGAGGAACACCGGUGGCGAAGGCGGUUCUCUGGGCAUUACCUGACGCUGAGGAGCGAAAGUGUGGGGAGCGAACAGG